rnacentral:rRNA from 1 species
UACGUAGGGGGCAAGCGUUGUCCGGAUUUACUGGGCGUAAAGCGCUCGCAGGUGGUUCGUUGCGUCGUGCGUGAAAGACCCCGGCUCAACUGGGGGAUGUCGUGCGAUACGGGCGGACUGGAGGCCAGUAGGGGGAUGCGGAAUUCCGGGUGUAGUGGUGGAAUGCGUAGAGAUCCGGAGGAACACCAGCGGCGAAGGCGGACAUCCGUGGACUGGUCCUGACACUCAGGA